CAAGUUUCAGUAUGUGUUGUC
rnacentral:siRNA from 1 species